GCGUGCGGGAAGAAGGCCUUCGGGUUGUAAACCGCUUUUGUCAGGGAAGAAAUCUCUUGGGCUAAUACCUCGGGGGGAUGACGGUACCUGAAGAAUAAGCACCGGCUAACUACGUGCCAGCAGCCGCGGUAAUACGUAGGGUGCGAGCGUUAAUCGGAAUUACUGGGCGUAAAGCGUGCGCAGGCGGUUGUGCAAGACAGGUGUGAAAUCCCCGGGCUUAACCUGGGAACUGCACUUGUGACUGCACGGCUGGAGUACGGCAGAGGGGGAUGGAAUUCCGCGUGUAGCAGUGAAAUGCGU
rnacentral:rRNA from 1 species